rnacentral:rRNA from 1 species
UCCACGCCCUAAACGAUGCACACUAGUUGUUGCGAUGCUCGUCAUUGCAGUAAUACAGUUAACACAUUAAGUGUGCCGCCUGGGGAGUACGGUCGCAAGAUUAAAACUCAAAGGAAUAGACGGGGACCCGCACAAGCGGUGGAGCAAAUCUUAAAACCCAAUCUCAGUUCGGAUUGGAGUCUGCAACUCGACUCCAUGAAGCUGGAAUCGCUAGUAAUCGUAGAUCAGCAAUGCUACGGUGAAUACGUUCCCGGGUCUUGUACUCACCGCCCGUCACACCAUGGGAGUUGAUUUCGCUUGAAGCCGGAAUACUAAAUUAGUUACCGUCCACAGCGGAAUUAGCGACUGGGGUGAAGUCGUAAC